AUCUGAUAAGCAGGAGCAAGGAACUCAGGGAGAGAUCCAGGAAGACAUCUGACUGUGUUAAGAGACGAAAGUCACAGCGACACGGGGAGCAAAGACACUUGCAGCAAAGUAAAAUGAUUUCACAACUAUUGCAUCAGAGCUGCAUGUGUGAGAGAGCCUAAGCCUGUCUCAGAGUGCAGGGGGCAAGAGGAAAGGAAUGUGUAAGAAUGCCGGUGACUCAGUUAGAAGCAUGCUUCGAAGGUGUCCAUGUACUUGCCAUCCAGAAGCGGAGCCUGGAAACUUCCGAAUUUCUCCAGAAUGCAGAUUUCAUUCACCUUUCGCAGAUAAGGAGACUGAGAAUUAUGUCUUCUCUCUUUUGGAGGGAGCGCAUUAUCAAUGACGGGAAUUUGUAAGGAAAAAGAUAUUGAUUCAUCCUGAGAAAACAUUUUUCUGAGAGGUAGCAAUGAAGAAGAUGAACACUGAAGAAGAUCCCUGCCUUCUCUCUGCUCUCCCUGUCCAUCUGUCUCCCUCAGCUUUU